CGGACGGGUGAGUAAUGUCUGGGAAACUGCCUGAUGGAGGGGGAUAACUACUGGAAACGGUAGCUAAUACCGCAUAACGUCGCAAGACCAAAGAGGGGGACCUUAGGGCCUCUUGCCAUCGGAUGUGCCCAGAUGGGAUUAGCUAGUAGGUGGGGUAACGGCUCACCUAGGCGACAAUCCCUAGCUGGUCUGAGAGGAUGACCAGCCACACUGGAACUGAGACACGGUCCAG
rnacentral:rRNA from 1 species